rnacentral:rRNA from 1 species
AACGAACGCUGGCGGCGUGCCUAACACAUGCAAGUCGUGCGAGAAAGGGGUGGCAACAUCCUGAGUAAAGCGGCGCACGGGUGAGUAACACGUAGGUAAUCUGCCUCUAAGACUGGGAUACCCUGUUGAAAAACGGGCUAAUACUGGAUAAGACCACGGGGGCUUCGGCCUCUGGGGUCAAAGGUGGCCUCUGCAUGCAAGCUAUCACUUAGAGAUGAGCCUGCGGACCAUUAGCUAGUUGGUAAGUAACGGCUUACCAAGGCAUAGAUGGUUAGCUGGUCUGAGAGGACGGCCAGCCACACUGGGACUGAGACACGGCCCAGACUCCUACGGGGAGCAGU